GUCGGGAUGGCGGAACCGGCAGACGCGUACGUUUGAGGGGCGUAUGGGGCAACCCGUGGGGGUUCAAGUCCCCCUCCCGACACCA
rnacentral:tRNA from 2 species